rnacentral:rRNA from 1 species
UACGUAGGGGGCGAGCGUUGUCCGGAUUUAUUGGGCGUAAAGCGCGCGCAGGUGGUUCCUUAAGUCUGAUGUGAAAGCCCACGGCUCAACCGUGGAGGGUCAUUGGAAACUGGGGAACUUGAGUGCAGGAGAGAAGAGUGGAAUUCCACGUGUAGCGGUGAAAUGCGUAGAGAUCCGGAAGAACACCGGUGGCGAAGGCGGUCUGCUGGGGUAAUGCUGACACUGAUGCGCGACAGCGUGGGGAGCAAACAGG